CAAUAGCGUAUAUUAAAGUUGUUGCGGUUAAAAAGCUCGUAGUUGGAUUUCUGCUUUGGACGACCGGUCCGCCCUGUGGGUUGGCAUCUGGAUCGGCCUGGGCAUCUUCUUGGGGAACGUAGCUGCACUUGACUGUGUGGUGCGGUAUCCAGGACUUUUACCUUGAGGAAAUUAGAGUGUUUCAAGCAGGCGCACGCCUUGAAUACAUUAGCAUGGAAUAAUAAGAUAGGACCUCGGUUCUAUUUUGUUGGUUUGUUGGGACUGAGUAAUGAUUAAGAGGGACAGUUGGGGGCAUUUGUAUUUCGGCGCUAGAGGUGAAAUUCUUAGAUUGCCGAAAGACGAACUGCUGCGAAAGCGUCUGCCAAGGAUGUUUUCAUUGA
rnacentral:rRNA from 1 species